AGGGCACUUCGCUGCCCCUCGUCCCAUCCGACACGUCCCCGAGGUGGGCGCUGGAUGCUGCGGGAGCUGAGCCACGGGCUAGCCAUGCCAGAGGGGGACAGUGGAAACAGGGGGUGUCUGUGACACUGGAGCACAGAAAUUAAUUAUUGAAAUAUGCCAUUGCAAAUCAUGUUGACCCUCACUACCCCACUGGAUUUCUGGGCACCUUUCAAAAAAUUCCCAGCGCCACCAUCCCGUUUGCGCUGGGCCCAAGAUGGUGCUGAUGGAGAGGGACUUGCGGAGCAUCAGAUCUUCCCUGGUUUGGGUUUUCUACCCAAAGGCAUGUAAUACAGGAUGCCUACAGGAACUUGCUAGUGCACUGCAGUAUUUUUGCUGACCACUAAAAAUAAGAUGGACAUCCUUUCAAGCCUCAGUCAGCCAUGGAAGCGCAGCUUUCUCGGGGGACUGCUGCGAGGAGCCGCUGGGGGGAUGGAAAUGGCAGAAAAGAGAAGGAUAUUCUGCACAGUUGGGGCUCGGUGGGCAACUUUCCCGCAGAGAUGUCGCGGAUGAAGUCAGGCUCAGCCCUUGGCCUGCACAGCCCGUGGGCCUCCCCCCUGCACGGAACUCGGUGUCCAGAGCCGGCUGGCCCUGGGGCGGCCGCGGGAAUUCCUGUGGGAGCUCUGUGGAGGUGUGGAGGCAGUUGGCUGUGCAGGACUGCCAGGGAGGCGCUCGGUGCCGGAGUCCCACUGCUUUGCCGAUGUUGAGUGGGGAAGAGAGUAAAAGGACACUUUGCUGUUGCCGAGGAGUUGCUCGAGCCAAGGGUGGUGCUGCCUUCUUCACCGUGAUCAGACCUCCUGGCUGAGGCCAUCACUGAACUCCCCACCCUGCACUUCAGCCGCUCGGGAGCCAAGGGAAAAGGGAAUGUCCUCUCGCACCACCGUAGGCACGGACAGAGUCUUCUCCUACCUCAGCCCACCCAUCUGAAGCUGAGGGAAGAGAUUGCAUGUCCACUGAAUGCAGAUACUUUCACGUGAACAGCACCAAUUUGAGUUUUAUCACUGCCAAAUCAUGAUGACCGUCAAAAGUUAGCUCUAUUAGCACAGGGCGGAGUGAUAAAUAUUGUAUUUUCCCGAAUGAUUAACAGACACCCCUCCUUGGCCUGAGCGACACUUUACAGAGUAAGACACCAGCUGAAGGGCCUGAGUCUGUCCCAGAAAAGGGGUCUUCUUCAGCGGUCUUCCCCCUGGCAGGGACUGUCCCCUGUAGAAGGCUGCUGGAACGUGCAGUAUUUCCAGGGAAUGACCUUAGUCUGGUGCACAGCUGGGCUUGCUGUCCUCUCGAUGUGGCGAGCCAUGCCCUGCUAGCUGCUCCUCUGGCUAGGGCUCUCGCCUGCCUUCCACCCCCUUUGGUUUGUUCAUAGUCGCAGUUAAAUGUCUUGUCUGCUCUGUGAUGUGAGUAGCUGAAUCCAUUCGGUGUUAAGAGGCUUGGGAGUCCACCUGGAAAGCGACACAGAGGGUCCCUCUUUGGAGAGCAUGGACGGGAGUUUCCCCAGUUUGGGAAGGCAAGGGCAGCCAAACCCAGAGCUGUUUUCCUCUGAACGAGGGGUUUGGGAAGACCACUCACACAGGGCCUGAGUGAACACUCAAUAUUUUAGGUCCCAACCCAGCAUGGAUCCAACAAGGGUUUAACUUGCACUGCAUGAGCAAUCUCAUGACAUGCCAGAUUAUUAUGCCUCAUAUGGAGGCCACCCUUGUCCUUAAUGAUAGAAACAAAAUUUAAAGAGUGGGAGUGUUUGGUGGCACUGGUCCUUAAACUCUCAGUUUUGGAUGACAGAGAUGCUGGGUGAUGUUCAGCACAAGCUCCAGGGGACUUCAUAGACAAACACGUGAUAACUCCAGGUCCAUUGCUAUUUGUGCUGUAUAAAUAAAAGCAGUUCUUAGUAACUUCCAACAAAUAUUAACCAGACAUUAGUUCUGUUUGUAACACUCUUUCAGGUAGGGGUACCCCAGAGCCUGGACUAUUUUAUUGGUUUGUGAUUAUUCUUUCACACGCAUAAACUCAAGGAAAUCAUGAAUUAGUGAUUUUAAUAUCUAGAAAAUGCUUAAUUAGAAAUAUCAGGGCAGCUCAGCUGGGAUGGGGGCUGACGAGGGGAGGCUGCAGUGCUGCUGUAGCAUGGGGGGUGUCCAGAGAAGGUACAUGGUGUGUGUGUAGAGGUCCCUUCUCAAGGUACAAGAAAAAGAGAUGAUCCACAGAAACAUGAGUCAUCCAGAUGGAUAAAACCGGAUAAUUUUUACCCAUCUGAUAACUAACCGUUGAAACUUAUCACCACGGAGAAUGCGAAUGCAAAAGGACCAGGUGCCCGUUGGGAGGAGAAACACCUGAGAAGGUGCAGAUUUAAGAAAGAGAAGGGUGAGAUAAGCACUCGUGCGUUAGGUAAGUCUAAAACUGAUGGUCAGGAGUGAGAAAGGCGCUUCCUUUGAGGGUAUUUCCUUCCCCAGUUUUCCACCGUAGCACUUGGUGGGUCUGAUGCUGAUCAGGGCAGGGCCAGCGCGGCAGGCUGGAGGCUCCGGCUCGGCUCGGCCGCGCUCCCGCGUCCCCGGGAUGUCCCCAGCCAUCGUGCCCAGCUGUGUCAGCGCUCGGGGCUCACCGCACACCCAGCACCGCGAGCACAGCGAGCCCCAGCCUCGGCUCCGAGCCCCUGCCCCGGGCUCCCGCUCCUUCGGCGAGAGCCUGGCUCCUGCCUCGCUGGGACAGGGCGGUGGGAGAGCCGGGCCCGGGCCGGGGGGGAGCAGUGUCCCCCCGCCCUGCGGGACCCUCCCGGGGGCUCCCCGAGCCGCCCCGAGAGGGGCUGCCCGCUGGUGGGUGGCACUGGUGGGCGCUUCCCAGCCCCCACCCCGGAUACCCCCGCAGGUACUUUUACAGCUUCGUGGGAAAUUCGUAACUGGAAAGUACCCUUCUCCUCAAAGCUGUUUGAAAUGCCAUUUAUCAGCUGGAAACGAGGGCAGCCAAACACCACGUAAAAAGUCCUGCACAGCAGGCCAGCAGCGAGCGCCCCACGGAUCCCAGCUGGAGAAGAUGACGUGCCAGUGGGUGCCAGCGGGUGCCAGCGGGUGCCCUGCAGUGUCCCCAGCUACACUGGUUUUCUUGGUUGGCAUCUGGAUUCGCACCUGAGAACCCAAACUGGAACCACUUACCGAACACCCCUGGGUGCUGCUGGGUGGGAUAAGAGAGGCCGGCAGCGGGAGGGGGCAUGGGGGGAACCCGACCCCCCAGCAGAUGUAGCCUGGUAGCAAGCAGCGCAGAGUGAGCUCGGGAGCUAAUAACCAUCCCUUCUGCUGGCAGCGGGGAGUGCUUCCUUGGGGAAGGAUAGAGGAACGGUGAGGUACUUAUGGGAUCACUACGGAUGAGCGUUUGGCUCUCGUAACUUCAGGCAUCCAAAGCCAGCCAGCCAGUGUCACCCAGGUGUCUCAGCUGCCUCUACAGUCAACGCGCAACGAUGAUCACCUUCAGAAACCAUUCAUCCCGGUGCUUUAAACGCUCAUCGUGGAGUGAGAUGAAUCGCUCGCUGGAGCUGCCUUUAUUCUUCCCAUCAAACACAAAGGGAGCCCGUGUGUCUCACAGUCUGCGUCUGAGACGUUCACCUACCCGGGGCUGGAUGGGAGAGCUGUGACCCACCAACGGUACCGCUGUGACCUGCCAAGGGGAUGCAGUCAAGGAAAAGGGGAACGAUCCCCAGUUGUCUCGGGAGAGUCAUUUUGAGAGAGGUGCAGAGAAGUAUAAAGGCUGUGGCGGGGCUCCGGGCUGCUCUCUGGUUCCCUUGGCCAUACCGAGGGAACGCAGGCGGAAAGUAGUGCAGAGAGUUUGCUGGAUUCUUCCGGAGAAGGGGGAGCAUCUUACAGAGCUGACUCGGCUCACCGAUCGCGGCAAAACGAGCGCUGAGAGAAGAUGCGUUCGUGGACAGUCAAGAGAGAGAGACAGCAGGGAGUGACACGGGCUAAACCCCCGCGCCACCCUGGCACAAGGAGUAGGAAUAAACAGACCGUGUAUAAACCCACGCUCGAAAUGAGGAGAUGCUGACCGAGCGUCGGAGCCCUCAGUCUCUGCAGGAGCGAUCUCGGAGGAGAACUGGGGAGGGGAGCUGGGCGCUGUGGGAACAGAGCUUGGUCAGGGUACGAAUGACGUGGCACGGUGUGGCUGCCUCCCACGGCGGGGCACUGGGCACCGGCCAAGGUCCCGUCGGGGUCUCUGUCCCCAGAGUGAGAAAUCAGUUUUAAUUCUCCUGUAGUUUUUGCUAACUCUGAACCUAAACAACGAGACUUUCCCAUGUAGAAUUAUUCUUGACUUUAAUCAAAGCCUAAUUUAGAUCCAGGUCAGAUAAUAAGUCAAAGCAGCUAAGGGUAGUCAGCAAAGAGCAUGAAUUCCUUCUGGAGCCUGUUGGCUUUCUGUCCAUGUCACAGCACCAAAACGUUGUUUGGUGUGGCUUCUGCGCGGGAGAGGCCUGGGACUGACACAAGCGGAGGAGCCGGAGUUACAGUUGGAUUUGUGGAAAUAAUAGACAUUUUUCCCACCUCCUUCUCCUGUCUCCAGCGUGGCUUCAGAGGGCUGGGAAUCAAACCACGUGGAUGCUCAAUUGAUGUGCUUGGGGGAAAAGCCGCAGAAGGAGCGCAGCAGGCUGAGCGCUGUGGCGGGGACCGAAAUACCCACCCGCUGCCGGGGCUGUGUGGGAGCCCGGGCCAGGAACAGCCAGGGAGCUGCAGAUCAGGACUCAGCUACAUUUCCAGAGCUGCGUGGGGAAGUCUGAUGGCACCUGCCCACAUCCUCGGCGACUGCACAUGAUGCCACAUCUCCCUCAGUUUCAAGAUCAGCAAAUUUACCCUUCUCUGCUUUUUUUUUUUUUUUCCUUCAGGAGAAAGAAGGAAAAAACCAACUGGGAGACCACAGAUUUCCAGGGUAGGCUGUGCUAACGCGGUACAAGCUGUCACCAGGCGAGCCUGGAGAAGACGGGGUGCCCUCUGCAAGCUGGAGUUCUCAUUGUCUGUGUGGCAGAGGACAAGAGGGGAAGUAAUAUGAACCAAAAAUAGUCUUACAGUUUGGGAAGUGAAACUGUGUUCCUGUGACCUCUCACACUUGUGCCUGUGUGCAGGGCAGUGGGCUGUCUCGCUCCGCCAGCCGAGAGGAGUGGGUCAGCUCCCUUCCUCCAGGUGUAACCCGUCCCUCCAGGCACAUCUGCUCGGGCCGGGCCGUCCUCCCCCGUCCCCUCGUCCUCCUCUGAAAUCCUCGCUGUGGGUGCACUCCAGCAGCAUCUGCAGCUGCAAACAGCUGGAUGGGGCUUUCCCACGAGCCCGUUUACGCUGCUCUGAGGUCAGGGGGUGGGCUCUGGGCUCUGAGAAAUCCCCACUGCCUCUGCGGGACCUCUGGGCAUGGCUGGCAUGGGACAGGGGAGCCGAGUCCUGGCCAGGGUGGGCAGCUCGGAUCCUUUCAGAAGGGAGCUGCGAGGUGGGGGUCUGGCCUUUAGCUUAAAACAUUUAAAUGCUAGUGCCUAAAGGCAUGGCUGGCCAGCGGGGAAGGGAGGAGGCAGCAGAGACUUUGUGCCUGGGGAGGGCUGCCGUGCUCAUCAUGGCCCCUAGAAGAAGCUGGUUUAAGUUUUCAGUGUUCUGGUGGGCAUGAAGGCCCUUGUGAUAUUUCUGGAUGGGAUAUAAUGGACUCAGGCUGAAUUUUGGAAGCCCGGGCAGCAGCAGGAUAACAAAAAGACGGCUAUUUCUUCGGUCUGGCCUCAUCCCACCUCUGAAUACUUCAAACUCUUUGGCAUGGCUCUUAACUGCGCUGGGCGCCCGUCGCUGUGGCCCCUCCGUCCCCUCCGCUGCCUGGCUGGGUGCCCCGGGGCGGCGGGUGCUGCGGUUGCCGUCCGGGUGCUGCCCGCAGAGAACGUGCUGCUCACAGCCGUCCCCGAGCAGGUUCCCCAGUGCCACACGUCUCCAAAGGCUCGUUACGGGCAGAGCUGGGGAGCCUCGCCCGCCGCGUCGCCCCUGGAGACGCUGAGCACGAGCAGGGCUCGUUACCCGUAACGGGCCGAGAGCAGCGGGGCACCCGGCAGAGCCCGGCCACCGGCCCGCGCGGUGCCGCUUCUUCAUCCAACUUUUCGCGCCGGGCAGUGGCUGAGGGAGCGGUGGGGCGGUUUCUGUUGAUUUUAUUUGGGAGGCGUGCGGUUGGGUUCUUGCUCGAUUUCCUAGAAUUUUCCCACGGAUGUUGAAGUCUGGUCUGGCCCCUGAAUAAAGGGGAUUCUGUGUCGUCCUGGGGCCGAACGGGUUAAUUUUUGUGCUUCUCUCCCCAGCUCGCUGCGGACUCUGGCUGGGACAGAACAUCUGUCUGUUGCUAUGGCUGCAGUACACUUGAAGGGGAUGACUGGAUAAUUAUUGCAAACAUCCAUCCUGCCUGAUGUGCUCCCGGACCCGCCGUGCCCGCACGCAGGGGAGCGGCCGCCGUUGGGAGCGCGACUCCUCACGGGGACCCUACCUCGGGCUGGCUCGUUGGCAGCACCUUUUCAUUUGCAUAAUUAAUGAGGCCGGCGGCUGCAGGGCUCCUGGGAAAUCCGACGCAGAGCAGCAGCGAUGAAAUGGCACGGAGGGCUCCAGCCUUCUCGGUGGCUCGUUAGAGCUCUGCUCGCUGAUAACGCCCCGUUUGAAGCUACAGGGGAGUUGUUCUCCCGUUUCCAUUAAUUUACCACCCACUUCCCUGGGAACAGAUUGCUCUGGGCCCGAUCCCGCGGUACCUCCUGCCAGGCGCAGGCCCCAGGCCUGUCUGCGAGGAGCAGGACCCUGGUGCAAACCCCACAGGCCGGCCGCAGCGCGGGGGGGCCGCGAGGUUCAGGGUCACGGCGGGGACCCCGCGCCGGGACCGGCCGGGACGUCCCCCGGGGACGGGUGCUGCUGGGGAAGGGUGGGUGGCUGCUCUUCGCUGCUCCCCGGAGCGGCGCUGGUGGAUCCCGCUGCCGGGCACUGCCCGGUGACCCCCCCGGGCCCCCCGGCCUCGCCUUGCGGCUGCCCGUGCUCUCCCGGCGGUGCCCAUCUCUGGGGACGUGGCGUGCCCGAGCCCCGUAACUCCCUGGCAAUUCCUUCCUCUGCUCCUAGGAGCCAGCCUGCCUUUAGCCUGUGCCGCAACACCCACGUCCCCUUUGUUCCUGGCCUUGCUGUUCUUUUGCCUACUGGCGUUUAACCCUGCCCUGGAUCUAACCCUGGGGGCGUUCAAAAAUCCAGACCUGCGUCCUGUGAAUUGUUCCUGUUUCAGAAAGUCCCACCUCUGAGUGAAGAGAGCAAAACAAUAAUGCAGAAAUUCCCCUUCUGACCAGACACUGCUGUACUCUGCUUAACUAUGAACUUCAAUUAAUCCAUUGUACAUUUUUUUUUCUGUUUAUCAACACAUGGCAGGGUAGGAAGUCCAAGUGGAGCCGGGACCACGAUGAGCGCAGACCUCCGCGGCCGCCGGCCAACAAACAGCGUCGCAGCCGGGAUCCUCCACAGGGGCUGCACUCACUCUGCAGAAGUCUAGUGCUUUGCAUCCGCAGAGCAGCCCGCAAGCACCAGUUGGAGCGUUUCUGGAAGCUGAGCACCUUGCUGGAGGCCAGUGGCGGGUGGGGCCGGGGCGGUGGGACUCUCCAUCAGUGCUGCUGCUUUAAAGGAGGAAGAAAGAUGGCAGAGAGAGGGAGAGAACUGUGGGCUAUUCCCAGGUCCUGUUUGAUCCUUAUCAUCCCUACAUUUUUGUGUAUGAUUCAAUAAACUCCCUUGCUCACACAA